rnacentral:tRNA from 1 species
UGGGGUGUAGCCAAGUUGGUAAGGCAGCGGGUUUUGGUCCCGUCACUCGUGGGUUCAAGUCCUACCACCCCAG